rnacentral:rRNA from 1 species
AUGCCUACGGGCCAAAGAGGGGGACCUUCGGGCCUCUCGCGUCAGGAUAUGCCUAGGUGGGAUUAGCUAGUUGGUGAGGUAAGGGCUCACCAAGGCGACGAUCCCUAGCUGGUCUGAGAGGAUGAUCAGCCACACUGGAACUGAGACACGGUCCAGACUCCUACGGGAGGCAGCAGUGGGGAAUAUUGCACAAUGGGCGCAAGCCUGAUGCAGCCAUGCCGCGUGUGUGAAGAAGGCCUUCGGGUUGUAAAGCACUUUCAGUCGUGAGGAAGGUAGUGUAGUUAAUAGCUGCAUUAUUUGACGUUAGCGACAGAAGAAGCACCGGCUAACUCCGUGCCAGCAGCCGCGGUAAUACGGAGGGUGCGAGCGUUAAUCGGAAUUACUGGGCGUAAAGCGCAUGCAGGUGGUUUGUUAAGUCAGAUGUGAAAGCCCGGGGCUCAACCUCGGAAUUGCAUUUGAAACUGGCAGACUAGAGUACUGUAGAGGGGGG